GACGAACGCUGGCGGCGUGCUUAACACGUGCAAGUCGAACGAUGAACCCGGAGCUUGCUCCGGUGGAUUAGUGGCGAACGGGUGAGUAACACGUGAGUAACCUGCCCUUGACUCUGGGAUAACUGCGGGAAACUGUAGCUAAUACCGGAUACGACCCUCGGCGGCAUCGCCAGGGGGUGGAAAGAAUUUCGGUCAAGGAUGGACUCGCGGCCUAUCAGCUAGUUGGUGAGGUAACGGCUCACCAAGGCGACGACGGGUAGCUGGCCUGAGAGGGUGACCGGCCACACUGGGACUGAGACACGGCCCAGACUCCUACGGGAGGCAGCAGUGGGGAAUAUUGCACAAUGGGCGCAAGCCUGAUGCAGCGACGCCGCGUGAGGGAUGACGGCCUUCGGGUUGUAAACCUCUUUUAGUAGGGAAGAAGCGAAAGUGACGGUACCUGCAGAAAAAGCACCGGCUAACUACGUGCCAGCAGCCGCGGUAA
rnacentral:rRNA from 1 species